rnacentral:rRNA from 1 species
UACGUAGGGCGCAAGCGUUGUCCGGAAUUAUUGGGCGUAAAGAGCUCGUAGGCGGCUUGUUGCGUCGGUUGUGAAAGCCAUGGCUAACUGUGGUCUGCGGUGGAUACGGCUGGCUAGAGGUAGGUAGGCAAGCGGAAUUCCUGGUGUAGCGGUGAAAUGCGCAGAUAUCAGGAGGAACACCGGUGGCGAAGGCGGCUGCUGGGCCUUACCUGACGCUGAGGAGCGAAAGCGUGGGGAGCGAACAGG